rnacentral:rRNA from 1 species
UACGGAGGAUGCGAGCGUUAUCCGGGUUUAUUGGGUUUAAAGGGUGCGUAGGCGGGAUGCCAAGUCAGCGGUAAAAAUGCGGUGCUCAACGCCGUCGAGCCGUUGAAACUGGCGUUCUUGAGUGGGCGAGAAGUAUGCGGAAUGCGUGGUGUAGCGGUGAAAUGCAUAGAUAUCACGCAGAACUCCGAUUGUGAAGGCAGCAUACCGGCGCCCUACUGACGCUGAGGCACGAAAGCGUGGGUAUCGAACAGG